UACGUAGGGGGCAAGCGUUGUCCGGAAUCAUUGGGCGUAAAGCGCGCGUAGGCGGCCCGGAAAGUCGGAUGUGAAAGCCCUGGGCUUAACCCAGGAAGUGCAUUCGAAACUCCCGGGCUUGAGUUCUGGAGAGGAAGGCGGAAUUCUCGGUGUAGAGGUGAAAUUCGUAGAUAUCGAGAGGAACACCGGUGGCGAAGGCGGCCUUCUGGACAGUGACUGACGCUGAGACGCGAAAGCGUGGGGAGCAAACAGG
rnacentral:rRNA from 1 species